AUUGAACGCUGGCGGCAUGCCUUACACAUGCAAGUCGAACGGCAGCACGGGUGCUUGCACCUGGUGGCGAGUGGCGAACGGGUGAGUAAUACAUCGGAACGUACCUUAUCGUGGGGGAUAACGCAGCGAAAGUUGCGCUAAUACCGCAUACGCCCUGAGGGGGAAAGCGGGGGACCGUAAGGCCUCGCGCGAUUAGAGCGGCCGAUGUCUGAUUAGCUUGUUGGUGAGGUAAAAGCACACCAAGGCGAUGAUCAGUAGCUGGUCUGAGAGGACGAUCAGCCACACGGGGACUGAGACACGGCCCAGACUCCUACGGGAGGCAGCAGUGGGGAAUUUUGGACAAUGGGGGCAACCCUGAUCCAGCAAUGCCGCGUGAGUGAAGAAGGCCUUCGGGUUGUAAAGCUCUUUUGUCAGGGAAGAAACAGCAGCUCUAACACAGUCUGCGAAUGACGGUACCUGAAGAAUAAGCACCGGCUAACUACGUGCCAGCAGCCGCCGUAA
rnacentral:rRNA from 1 species